rnacentral:snoRNA from 1 species
AGUGAUAAUGAUAUUUUCAAAAAUGAAAAGGGAGAUAGAACAGGUCUUGUUUGAAAAAUAAAUUCAAGACCUACUUAUCUACCAACAGCA